UACGAAGGGUGCAAGCGUUAAUCGGAAUUACUGGGCGUAAAGCGUGCGUAGGCGGUUGCCUAAGUCAGAUGUGAAAGCCCCGGGCUCAACCUGGGAAUGGCAUUUGAUACUGGGCAGCUAGAAUGUGGUAGAGGAAGACGGAAUUCCCGGUGUAGCGGUGAAAUGCGUAGAUAUCGGGAAGAACACCAAUGGCGAAGGCAGUCUUCUGGGCCGACAUUGACGCUGAGGCACGAAAGCGUGGGGAGCAAACAGG
rnacentral:rRNA from 1 species